rnacentral:rRNA from 1 species
GUCUAGUACUCAGAGUUUGAUCCUGGCUCAGGAUGAACGCUAGCGGCAGGCCUAACACAUGCAAGUCGAGCGGGAUCCACCUUCGGGUGGUGAGAGCGGCGCACGGGUGCGUAACGCGUAUGCAACCUACCUUUUGCUACGGGAUAGCCCAGGGAAACUUGGAUUAACACCGUAUAGUAUACAGCUUCCUCAUGGGGAUUGUAUUAAAGGCUACGGCAAAAGAUGGGCAUGCGUCCUAUUAGCUAGAUGGUAAGGUAACGGCUUACCAUGGCAACGAUAGGUAGGGGCCCUGAGAGGGGGAUCCCCCACACUGGUACUGAGACACGGACCAG